rnacentral:rRNA from 1 species
UACAGAGGGGGCAAGCGUUGUUCGGAUUUACUGGGCGUAAAGGGCGCGUAGGCGGUCGUGACAAGUCACUUGUGAAAUCUCCGGGCUUAACUCGGAACGGUCAAGUGAUACUGUCGGACUAGAGUACAGAAGGGGCAACUGGAAUUCUCGGUGUAGCGGUGAAAUGCGUAGAUAUCGAGAGGAACACCUGCGGCGAAGGCGGGUUGCUGGGCUGAUACUGACGCUGGAGGCGACGAAAGCUAGGGGAGCGAACGGG